rnacentral:lncRNA from 1 species
GGAUGAGCAGAUCAGCUGCUACGGUGAAGGCGCGCUGCUGCCAUAGAACUCUCCCCUUGCCAAAUAUUUGCGAAGGCCGGUUCAGCUGCCGGCUCUCGUCGAUCUCAAGCAGGCUCCCAAAGACCUGCGCUGCCUCUGCUGCAGUGGCCUCGCCUGUAGGCAUCGUAAUGUCCGCUGACGCCGGUUGUGCAAGGGUCAAAUCAUGCGACAGCUUCAGGGCAGCUCUCAAGAUGU